rnacentral:rRNA from 1 species
GACGAACGCUGGCGGCGUGCUUAACACAUGCAAGUCGAACGGAAAGGCCUUUUCGGAGGUACUCGAGUGGCGAACGGGUGAGUAACACGUGGGUGAUCUGCCCUGCACUCUGGGAUAAGCCUGGGAAACUGGGUCUAAUACCGGAUAGGACCGCACUUUAGUGUGUGUGGUGGAAAGUUUUUUCGGUGUAGGAUGAGCCCGCGGCCUAUCAGCUUGUUGGUGGGGUAAUGGCCUACCAAGGCGGCGACGGGUAGCCGGACUGAGAGGUUGGUCGGCCACAUUGGGACUGAGAUACGGCCCAGACUCCUACGGGAGGCAGCAGUGGGGAAUAUUGCACAAUGGGCGCAAGCCUGAUGCAGCGACGCCGCGUGGGGGAUGACGGCCUUCGGGUUGUAAACCUCUGUCUUCAGGGACGAAAAGAAUGACGGUACCUGAGGAGGAAGCCCCGGCUAACUACGUGCCAGCAGCCGCGGUAAGAC